CCUGGGGCACCCUUUGAUCCUUCACAUGUAGAUGGACAGAGCUGCUCAGAACCCUCCACGAGGUUAUGCACACAGUAGCCCAAAGUCCAAGAGUUCCGGGACAGUCCCUGUUUUCAAAUAUUUAAUUAUGUAUCAAACGAUGCAUCUUGACUUUUCAAAAAAUAUAAGUGACAAGGUUACAGAAUAGAAGUACCAAAGAAAAACAAAAAAAAAGCAAGCAAAACAAAACAAAACAAAACCAACACCCCAAAAUGCAUACAAAUCAGGAUGGAAUUACCAAUUGUUCCCUGUGGAUUUUUCCAUUCCCAUCUCAGAAUGGAAAGAGCAAGCCCAGGACGGACAGUAAUGGCACCCAGCAGCUGCAGAGUGCAAAAGUUCCCACCUGCUGAGAAAACAGCAGGAAUCUUUAGAAGGAAAUUCUCUUCCCUUAUUAGGUAGCAGUAAUUAUGCUGCCAAGAAAAAUCUUGCCUUCAUAGACUUAUGUUGCAUAAGAAAUAAAGUUUAGCUGGAAUGGACAAGUUGAGUUCAAAAAACUACUGAAGAAUCUCCUUCUACUCCCUGUCCUCAGCUUUCCAUUCCAUAGUAACUAGACCCGAGAUUUCAGAGCACAGUAUUGAAGCUGCUGUGCUGCAUAAGUAUCUCACACCCAAAGACUCAGGCAACUAUUCCACAGUUUUCUUUUUGUUUUUUGUUUUUUGUUUUUUUGAGACAGAGUCUCACUCUGUCACCCAGGCUGGAGUGCAGUGGCGCGAUCUCGACUCACUGCAACCUCCGCCUCAUGGGUUCAAGCAAUUCUCCUGUCUCAGCCUCCCAAGUAGCUGAGAUUACAGACCCCCACCACAAUGCCUGGCUAAUUUUUGUAUUUUUAGUUGAGACGGGGUUUCACCAUGUUGGUCAGGCUGGUCUCAAACUCCUGACCUCAAGUUAUCCGCCCACCUCUGCCUCUCAAAGUGCUGAGAUUACAUGCAUGAGCCACCACGCCCAGCCAGUUCCACAGACUUCUAAGGGGCUAUCAGGGAACAAAUGUGUAGUAAAAACUGUUCACCAAGUGUUUAUGAAUCAUCCAAGAAGGUCAGGAUAGGUUUUUGUUUUGCUUUACGGGAGACAUCCUGAAUCUGAAAGGCAGAAGACACCUAUCUGGCAGGUCCAGGGUUAGCACAAUGUAUUCACUGCCCGUUCAAGAAUAGUAACAAUGAUCAUAAUAACAGUCAUAACUAUUGUUUGUUGAGACUAUGUGCUUUAAAUGCAUUAUCUCACUUAAUCCUCAUACCAACUUUGUCAAUAUUCAUAUUUCACCUACAAGAAAAUAGACUUAGUGAUGUGAAGAGACAAUGUCAUACAGCACACAGUGCUAAAGUUGAUAAUCAGACCCAACUCUAUCAAACUCUAAAGGCCAUUUAUUUAACCACCGUGAAAGAAAAUAAAAUCUCAGGACCCCGUUUCAUGAUGCCAAAAGGAAAACAUUAAGCUGAAAGCUGAGUCAUGGCCAGAAAUUGCCUUUCUCUUUGUUCCUAAGCAGACAGCUACAGAUAAAAGGCCGGAUGUCUCCACAGUCAGCUACUCUAUGUUCACCUUAUCAGUGAUCAGUGCUGAUUUACUGAGUGGGAGACGACUACAUAAUUGUCUGUUCUCCUACUUGCUCCUUUUCUCUUGCAACAUGUGGAUUCAGUCAUGUGACCACAUCCUCCCUCUUUCUCUUCCAGCCUGCUUUUCCCCUUUAAAUACUGAAGGCUUCAAAGUGAUCUUUGAAGAAAAGCCCCGACCACAUGCUGUUUCUGUGGUAUCUGUGUUCCUUUCUUCCGGCCAUGUCCUUAACCUUGGCAAAAUAAACUGCUAAGUUGAUUGAGAUCUGUCUCUGAUACUUUUUGAUUUAUACCACUAUACUUUCCAGUCUUUUUUCUUUUUUCUUUUUUUUUUUUUUUUUUUGAGACGGAGUUUCACUCGUUGCCCAGGCUGGAGUGCAGUGGCGCAAUCUCGGCUCACCACAACCUCUGCCUCCCAGGUUGAAGCAAUUCUCCUGCCUCAGCCUCCCAAGUAGCUGGGAUUACAGGCAUCUGCCACCACGCCUGGCUAAUUUUAUUUUAUUUUUUUAGUAGAGACGGGGUUUCUGCAUGUUGGUCAGGCUGGUCUCGAAUUCCUGACCUCAGGUGAUCCACCCGCCUCGGCCUCCCAAAGUGCUGGGAUUACAGGCGUGAGCCACUGCGUACAGCCUCCAGUCUUCUUUAAUAGGCAACAGAUGGAUUUCUAAGCAGUUACCUCAAGAAAAAAAAAAAAAAAGAAAAGGAAAAUUCCGUGAAACAAAUCCACAAGGAUUAGCCAAUCCCUACUUAGUGAUGAUGCCUACAGAAAGUGCUGUUGGCCAGGCUCCAUUCCCUCACCAGUCCCAGCAGCAGAAUCACCUGAGUACUUACAAAAAAGGCAGAUUCUUGGGCCCACCCCCAGAUCUAUUGAAUCAGAAUCUCUGAGAAUAGAGCCUGGGAAUCCUCAUUUAACAUGACCCACCAUACCCCAACUCCCAAGCAAUUCCCCUUCACACUGAAGUUUCAGAAGAGCUGCUUGAAGGAUGAGCAUUCCUCCCAGCUUGCCUGGAAGAUAAGUUUAUACCUGUUAUCCUGGCAUAUCAAUAGUGCCUUGCUUUACCCCCAUAAGUGUUCCAGUUUAGACAACCAACUUGCAUGUAUAUAUUUCUAUAUUUUUUGUACCAAAAUAAACCAUACUGUACAUGCUAUUUUAUAACCUGAAAUUUUUAUGCAAUGAUUUCUACUUUUCCAUAUAAACUUUUAUCUUUUCUCAUACCAGUCUAUAUUCAGAUGUUCUCAGUCAUCUUUAAAACAUUCUCUACAUCUGGUUUAAUCAGUCUACGCAUUGCGUUAUAAUAGUUUCUCUUCUAAACUAGUUAAGUUUCUCUAUCUCUUCCUCCCCACCCCACAUCCCCACUUCUCUCUCUCUCUCUCUCUCUUUAUCUCACACUGACUUGUUAAUAGACUAGGCCAGAUGUAUUAUAGGCUGGGCCAUGUUUUGGAUUUUUCUGGACACUUCUUUAUGGUGUUAGUUUGGUCCCUUGUUUUCUGUAUUUCUUAUCAACUGAAAAUUAGAUUAAAAUUUUUAUUCUUAUCAAGUUUGAGCCAAGUUUGGCUAUACAUCACAAGUAAUGUUGUUUAUUUCAUCUUAUAUCACAUCAGGAACAUGUACUAUCUUGUUGACCCACAAUUAGUGACACUGAGAUCAACCACUGAAUGGAGUGACUUUUUGAUGCAAUGACAGGACACAGUUACAUUCUUUUCCUUGCAACUGGGUAAAAAUCUGUAUGGUAUCACUUUGGCUCUAUAUAAAUAUUCAAUUUCCCAUCAACCUAACGCUUUCAACAAUUUGAUACUUGUUGCCUGAGUUCAGGGUGUUGCAAAAUGUCAGUUCACUAGUUCUAUCAAUCUUCUACAUGAUUAGCAGACCUUCUUCAGUAGAAAAGAGAUUUUUCUUCAUUAUCUGGGACCAUUUAGUUACCAUGAAAAGCAGUUCCUAUUGGAAAGGCAAGUUAAAUGUUUCUUUUUUGUUGUUGUUGUUGUUGUUGUUGAGAGAGUCUCAGUCUGUCUCCAUGGCUAGAGUGCAGUGGUGCAAUCUCAGCUCACUGCAACCACAGCCUCUCGAGUAGCUGGGAUUACAGGCAUGCACCACCACACCCGGCUAAUUUUUGUAUGUUUAGUAGAGAUGGGGUUUUGCCAUUUUGGCCAUGCUGGUCUUGAACUCCUGACCUCAAGUGAUCCAACCACCUUGGCCUUCCAAAGUGCUGGGAUUACAGGCAUGAGCCACCGCACCCAGCCUGAAUGUUUAUUUCUUACGCUUUGAUUAUUUUCAAAUUAAGGAACUAGUUUAAUAGCCACUUGGGCCCAAUUUCUGUGGUCCAUUUGCAAUAUCUCCAUCAAGAGAGCGAGCACCUUCCAGAAAAGUCUAGUGGUUAUAGGAGAACUAAACAAUGCUAAAAACUUUGGCCACAUUAUGCACAGAUACAACUGGCAACCAGAAAUACUCCACUGGAAAUGGUAGCCCUGAUGAGAAGUCAUGGCCUAAGCUAACUAGUUUUUCACAUCUGAUUCUC
rnacentral:lncRNA from 1 species